GGGAACGCAUGGGUGGGAGGAGAGGAGGCAACGUUUGGUGACCAGCAGAAACAGAGAUUGAUAGACUCUUUGAUAGAAUUGGAAUUAGGCAUAAUUCUCCAGGAGUGCACCUGGGAUGCAUGGCAAAGUUUAUCCUCACAGGAUUCCCUCCCUGGCUGGUAUCAAUCAUGUAUGAGGAGCAGGUGGAGCUCUCCUUGCCCAGGCCUGACACCCAGGCUUACUGUGGAAUUAAAGAGCUGUGGACAGUAGCAGCUCAAAAGGAAGGUGACAGAUGAGUUCCUGAACAUACAGGUUGUCAAUAGCCAAAGACAAGAUGGCCACCUGGGAGAGGAGCUGGGAGCCAGUUGUGGACAAAUUCAAGGCAUGUUUGCUGGCUUUUCCACCAUGGGCAGAUGAUGCCACAGAGAGGGGUUAUUAGUGAGCAGUACCAUGCAGCAUGCAAUGUAGCAGAAACAACACUUAAGUAAAGACAUUUCCUCAUGAUUAAUUUCAGACUAUACAUCUUUGGCAAGAGUUUCACAGAAACUUCUCAUCACAUCUUAUCAGGUGGCACACGAUUCUGUUUUGUCUUGGAAUGAGGGAUGCUGACUUUGAUUACUUGCUUGCGGUAGUAUCUGCCAGGCAUUUCCAACAUUAAGCUACUCUUUUCCUCUUUCAGGGUGUGGCUGUGCUGGGAAAGAGACUUGGCCUGCAGCCACACAGUGAUUCAGAAGACGCUGAGUGAGGACCUCUGUGUCCCUGCUCCAAGGACUCGGAAAUGACCCGUCCCAGGACACUCAAUCCUGCCUGCAGAUGCUAGGCUCCGAGGAGAUGCCUGCUAUAGCACCAGCACGUUCUGCAGAAAUGUUUUGAAAUGUGUUAAUAAAUAACUGGAGAAC